ensembl:lncRNA
UGUGAUUUGUUGUUAUAUUUCUUCUCUAGAAAUGCACCUUUUUGAGGCUCACAUGAGUCGCACAGGAUCAAUUAAAGACUGGCUGAGGAGCUUCAUUAAGUCUGCAGAUAAAGUCAUUUCUGAGGCUUGGGAGAAUUCUGCGCAUUUUCUACUGGACAGAUUGUUUGAGAAAUGGGACCCAUCAAGUCAGAAGAGUGUUCUGACAUUCACACAACUCUUAAACAGCUAUAAGAGGAGUUUUCACGCUGCCAGAGACCAUGUGUUUUACUUUGACAAUGUGCCUACUCCUUUUGUGAAGGUGUCAGAACUGAUAGCAAACAAACUGGUGAAGAUACUGAAUGGAGAAAGAGGGGGAAGAACUUCAGAGAGCUCAGCUGAUGUCAGUCCUCUGACGACGGGCCUCUCAGUGUUCCAGGUGUGCUGUGCGUGUUGUAUUGAGCUUGGAAUUAAAGACUGGGGCAAAGUUUGUCAGCUGGUCUCCACUAGUCCUGCCCUGGGACAAUUAGAAGAAAUUCAGAAUGCCUUUCCAGCAUUACAGAACACAGUGUUGGGUCUGAUGAGCUUGUGUGCUCGGAAACUGGUCUCAGAGCUGGUGCUGCUGGUUCCUCUCCUCCACACUCUGAGGCAGCCAGGGGCAGACUCAGGCCGGCUUGGAUGGACUGUGGAGGAGUCAGACUGGACUGGGCUGCACUUUGUGGAAUUUCGUCCAUUCAGAGAGAAGAUGAGAAGACUCCCUGACAAAAGGAGGAUGAUGCUCCGUAUGGUCCAAGAUCACAUAUCACUGGUCAAGAAGAAUCCUCGGAUUUUGAUCAGCUGGCUGUCCAUGAUGGCAUUUGAGGAUAUUAUAGAGUUUGCCAAAAUGACAGAGAUUGUUCCUGAAUAUCUGAUUCAGGGCCUGAUGUACAGACUGAAAGUGUUUGAACUGUGCACUCAUAACACCGCUCCUCCCGAUUCACAGAAGAACCUGCAGGUACAUGAUGUAAGAUUUCAUGACAAGUUAUGGAUUUUGAAUAAAGGCAAGGUGUUUCAUUAA